rnacentral:lncRNA from 1 species
ACCCUACUCCAUCUUCUCGUGUUGUUCGGCGCACGCGGAGACAGCCCGCGAUCCCGAUCCCGAUCCUUCUUCACGCGAAUCUCGACGAUCCCCCCCUUCCUUCCUUCAAGGUACGGCGAAUCGGCGAUCAUCCUCCCGCUUUCCCUUCUCCUCUAGGUAUAAUGAUUUGUUAUAGGUUAUGGGGACUUUUGAGUCAUCGGGUCGAUCUGACGAUUUGCUAUGGGUGCUCUGAGUACUCGACCUGGGAACUGUGGGGCGCUUGUAGGCGGCGCAGAGUUGGGUCUCGUCGUUGUAAUGAUUCCAUCGGCUCGUUGCGUAGGGUUUGAUCUGCCUGUCGUUUUCUUUUCUUUUAAUUAAAUUUCUGAUGCACAGUCAUGUAUUGAUCUGGUUUGGUGUUCCUAGAUGCGUGUAAUAAAUGGGGAAAAAACCAUGUCGUAAUAAAAUCAAUUUAUUUUUAAUAAAAAAAAUCUGAAUUCUGGCUCUAGUGAAUAAAUGGAUAGAGCCUGGCUCUAAUUCUGGUAAAAUAAAAAGACAACGAGCUUAACUUCUUAAUUGGUCAAUUGGAAGGGUUCUCCGAUCUAAUUAGACGUUGAAAAUAUAUUGCAAGAUUACUUCACUUCUUUAAAUUGCCAAGAAACCAUAAAUUUACCAUUGUGAUUGGGGCUACUUUUUUUUAACCUUUAGCCUUUGUGAAAUUUAA